AAUUUGGGACAAUGGGUGCAAGCCUGAUCCAGCCAUGCCGCGAGAGUGCAGAAGGCCGACGGUUUNUAAAGCUCGUUCGGACGAAANAAAAUCGCCCAGGCUAAUACCCUGCGCGGAUGACGGUACCGUCUUAAGAAGCACCGGAUAACUAAGUGCCAGCCGCCGCGGUGAUACGUAGGGUGCGAGCGUUAAUCGGGGUUACAGGGCGUAACGCGUGCGCAGGCGGUUGAUUAAGACAGGCGUGAAAUCCCCGGGCUUACCCUGGGAACUGCGCUUGUGACUGGUCAACCAGAGUACGGCAGAGGGGGGUGGAAUUCCACGUGUAGCAGUGAAAUGCGUAGAGAUGUGGAGGAACACCGAUGGCGAAGGCGGCCAUCUGGACCAGCACUGACACUGAGGCACGAAAGCGUGGGGAGCAAACAGG
rnacentral:rRNA from 1 species